AACAGAUACAUGGAUAGCAGCGGGCUGAGCGGCAGGAUUCCUUCAACGUUUGCUAACUUGAGAAACAUGAAGAUCUUAUAUACUCAGAUGCUUGACGGCCAUAAAAACCAUGGUGAAGUUGGAUAAACCACUGAUAGAACCAGGUGGUGGGUCUUGCCUCUGCGGCAAUGCAAUGGUGUAGGUGAUGGGUGGGUGUUGCAUUGUCAAUGGUGGAUGGGGUCUGGCCUUGGUGAAGUUGUUAUUAUUAUUAUUUUAAUUUAAUGCGUUCUUGUAAGUGAUUUAACCCAUGAUAUGAAGUGGGUUGAUGGGCAUGCAUUACGCCACAUGAACGGCCGUGGAAUGGAAUAAUGUCAUUUCUCAGUAGCUGUCCAAUAUAAGGACCCGGCUAGCCUUUUUAUUUCUUGGGCCUGAUCCAGUGCUCAGAUCGAGAUUGGCGCACUCACAGAACUGAUGAAAUGCAUUUGAUAUCAUGCCAUUUCAGAGUGCAUCUUACAGUGUUC